UACGUAUGGGGCAAGCGUUAUCCGGAAUUAUUGGGCGUAAAGAGUGCGUAGGUGGUUACCUAAGCGCAAGGUUUAAUCUUGAGGCUCAACCUCAUUCUGCCUUGCGAACUGGGCUACUUGAGUGCAGGAGGGGAAAGCGGAAUUCCCAGUGUAGUGGUGAAAUGCGUAGAUAUUGGGAAGAACACCGGUGGCGAAGGCGGCUUUCUGGACGAUAACUGACGCUGAGACGCGAAAGCGUGGGGAGCAAACAGGAUUAGAUACCCCUGUAGUCCCUGA
rnacentral:rRNA from 1 species